rnacentral:rRNA from 1 species
GAUGAACGCUGGCGGCGUGCCUAAUACAUGCAAGUCGAGCGAACAGACGAUGAGCUUGCUCCUCUGACGUUAGCGGCGGACGGGUGAGUAACACGUGGAUAACCUACCUAUAAUACUGGGAUAACUUCGGGAAACCGGAUCUAAUCCCGGAUAAUAUAUUGAACCGCAUGGUUCAAUAGUGAAAGACGGUUUUGCGGUCACUUAUAGAUGGAUCCGCGCCGCAUUAGCUAGUUGGUAAGGUAACGGCUUACCAAGGGAACGAUGCGUAGCCGACCUGAGAGAGUGAUAGGCCACACUGGAACUUAGACACGGUCCAGACUCCUACGGGAGGCAGCAGUAGGGAAUCUUCCGCAAUGGGCGAAAGCUUGACGGAGCAACGCCGCGUGAGUGAUGAAGGUCUUCGGAUCGUAAAACCCUGUUAUUAGGGAAGAACAAAUGUGUAAGUAACUAUGCACGUAUUGACGGUACCUAAUCAGAAAGCCACGGCUAACUACGUG